GGUCAGUAGAUCAGUGGUAGAAUGCCAGCCAAACAUGCAUGAGGCCCUGGGUUCAAUCCUCAGCACCA
rnacentral:tRNA from 1 species